GUAUUUCCAUUUUUCUUUAUUCUUCGACCAUCCAAGGUCAGGAGAUAGUUGCUGUCAAACCAUUUCCGAAUUGUACGAAAGAUUCCGAGUGUGACGAAUUUGUAAACACGGAAUGCAAACCAAAUCCAGACGACCCUUCCAAAUCCAUCUGUACAUGCAAGGAAGGUUUUCUGUUCUGGCCAUUACCAUUCAGAAUAAAUGGUUGUCUAGCUGAGUGUGACUUUGUGAAUAAAGAAAAUUCUGGCUGUAAGCAUGGGACUUGUGGUUUUGACGGGAAUCCAUUUCCGACAUGUGUAUGCCAUAAGGGAUAUUGCGGGAGGCAUUGUGAAGAUAAACACAAAAGGAGGGGAGGCUGAGUUGUGUUUGUCUCUGCUGGAGUGGGUAUACUUACUUAAGUUUACUGGAAGGCAUAAAAUGACUAACAGUGACUUCCUGUUAAAAUAAAAAGUAUAUUCCUGAAAAAGUCCAUGAUGAUGCAAUGUUCAUAUGUUGAAAAUAAAAGUUUAUGAAUUGAA